rnacentral:lncRNA from 1 species
GUCAAAACAUGAAGGACACCCUGGAGCAUGCCGCUCAGCCCUGUGAGGUCCCAGAAUGAAAACUUAGCUGUGGAUGGAUACAAUAGAGACGAAGGGCUCUGGAGUGUUGGGUGUCCGCUGCUGCUACAACUUGUUCACAAAUGUAGGUCACGAGAAUAGGCUCUGUCCUAACCCAUCUAAAAAGUGCCUAGAAACUUUUUAUUUGGUAUGAAGGGCAUGUUGUCAUAAAAUGCCCCGGCCUUUUUAACAGAGAAAGCAAGGAGCCUAGCAUAGCAACCCUCCAAGAGGCUCUAUUCAUCUAUGUGACUGAGACAGAUACAGAGACCCACAGACAACCAUUGGAUGGAAGUCAGAAAGCCCUGUGGAAGAGAUAGGAGAAGGAUUGAAGACCCUCAAGGAUAUGGCAACCCCACAGGAAGACCAACAGUGUCAACUAACCUGGACCCCUGGGAGCUCCUAGAGACUGAACCACCAACCAAAGAGCAUACACAGGCCCCUGACACAUAUGUAGCCUUGUUCUGCCUCAGUGGGAGAGGAUGCACCUAAUCCUGCAGAGACUUGAUGCCCCAGGGAGGGGGAUAUGGGAGUCUUCCCUCUCGAAAGCAAAGGAGAAGAGGCAUGAAGGAGGAACUCUUUGAGGGGGGACCGGGAGGGGGCAACAUUUGGGAUGUAAAGAAAUAAAUAUCUUUCCUGAAU